AGUGCACAUUGCUAGAGCUUGGAGUUGAGGUCACAAACUGGCCACUGAACUCACAAGUGUAGUAGUAUGCCACAUGAGUGGCAAGUUUUCACUAACACUCCACUCUGGCCUGUGCAGGGAGUUUGAUAGUAACCUUUGCUACAAGU
ensembl:snoRNA SNORA62 Small nucleolar RNA SNORA62/SNORA6 family